rnacentral:lncRNA from 1 species
AGAACAAAAUAAAAGAGAGGUAAUGGGCAGUAGGGAGAGAGAUCUUUCUCAAAGGGAAAGGGGAGGGAGAGAUAGAGGAGGGAGGGAAGGAGCCAGGGGAGGGAGAGGGAUGACAACGGCAGGUUUGUUACGUACAGUCCCUUCGCCACGGGAGGAGCGCAGUCACGAUGCACUGCAGACGUGGACGAAACGUGCAAACAGAGCGUCGCCCGGCAGGACUUUCAGACUUUCAGUUCCGUCCAGGAGGCCCUGUGCCGCUGGGGGGCGCUGUGGGAGUGAGGGCCCUAGAGGCCGGGUGCAGACGGAGUCCCUGGCCCUGGCCUGAUGGCCACAGUCCCGGUGUCUGUGGGGCCCAGCCGGGCGCCUCCGCUCCUCGGCCAGGCCUGCGGGGCAGAGGCCAGCGGCGUGCAGCGCUCCGGCCGCGCCCCGCCUCCCACCGCCUCUCCUCCGCGUGCCAGGGACCCGGCAUUCAACCCCCGCAGGAGGGCCCGGCUCCUCAGGCUGCGGUCACGGCUUACACCGGCUCCCGGAUGCUCAGUUUCCCCGAACGCAUGUCAGACGAGCACGCAAAACCCGGUGCAAAGAGCUAGAACUGCGUCACAGAAGUGGCUGCCUGCAGUGUGACGCGGGUUCGGGUUCGGGCUGAAGUUCGGGUUCGAGGUCAUCACAGAGCAGCAGCGGCCUGGCGAGUUUUAGUAAAUAGUCACAGGGCGCAGCUCAGAAACGAGGAGUGGCCCGAGCCCCCGUGGCCGCAGGACUGUUUGCGAGACUCGGCCUGUGUUCAGCUGGGCCCUGCCUUCUAAGCGCACAUUCACUCACGAACAGCAGUGGCUGAAUCCCCCGAUGAUACACCACCGCAUGACCACUUACCUCUCCAGGAGUCGCUCAUUCCAGUCAAGAAUGAUUCUUGCGAGAACUUCUGCCCCCAGUCCACUGAUCGCUUCCUUACAGCGAACACCUACCUAGCAGGCUUCCUGCCUCCUGAUCGCUUCUGCCCAGUUUCACUGUAGCAGCCACAGAUUCUGCUGGGACGCGGGGCUAUCCCCAUUACCCAUCUGCCUCCAGCCUCCAGGAAACUUUUCAUCUCACUCAAGCAAGAGCAAGUGUCCGUACAUUCUCCACCUCGCUCGCCAGUACCGCCCUCCCUCACCUCUCUGGUAGUCCUCUCUCCUCCUUCUAUUCUUGCCCUGGGCCAGGCCCUUUCUCCUGCUGUUGCUUUUGUCUUGAAAGCGUCUGGAGUUCAUCCAGGUUGUUCCCUCAUCCUCUCCCACAUUUAGUCAGACUUUCUCAGCCUGUUAACCCCACUGUCCAUCUUUUCCCUGAUUUAUUUUCUCCUUUUCACUUCAAUGAUUUAUCUAUUUGGCUCAUUUACCUGUUUUAUCCAUUACUAUAAAAUGUAAGACCCAUGAAAGCAGGCAUUUCUGUGUCUUGUUCACUGAUCAAUCAGCAAGAUUAUCCCAGUUCCUGGCCCAUGUUAGGUGCGAGGAAAGUAUUUG